rnacentral:lncRNA from 1 species
CUGACCGGUUCCCUCAUCCCGAGGCCUCUCCCUCACAUGGAAACACGUGACACUGAAGGGGUGAUCCUCUGCUCAGACUUUCUUCAGAUGGGGAAAAAAAAAUAAAACCACAAACAGCUGACUGUGAGCCAGACUCCAGCUCAGAGCAGGCAUCCUAAUGACCUCAUCGGUAUACAAGCUGGAACUUGCUUCUCUCAGGCCUGCCUGGCUGCCAGCAUUCCUACUGACCAACUUAUGCAAGAGAGUCCUUGAGGAAAGAGGAGGCUGCCUGUGUGGGGCCUUCAUGCCUGAGCCACACAUGGAGAGACAUAGAAAAACCUGCAUCAGAGACUGGGGCUGAUGGCCUCUCACCCCAACCUCUGCUGUACCCCUCUUCAACGAGCCCCUUUCUUUGCUCACUAAAACAAAACACAUUCCUAAAUUAAACACUCGGUUACCUUCCAUGUGGGCCCAAGUGGAAAAGCCAAUGAAGGCCUGAGGCGAGUGGAUGAGUCAGAACCUGUCCACGGGAGUUUUACUAAAAGAUUCGGGAAAGCUGGAGGACCACAGGCGGCAGAGGACCCGAGGGGCCAAAGGGUUCAAAACUUCUGCAGGUUCGGGACUGGAGAGGAAGUCUCAGAAGCCAUGUAGAACAACCCUGCCACGUUGCAGAUGAGGGAACCACAGCCCAGAGGGUGGCGGAGCGGGGUGUCUUUCGCCGAGCUUAGAGCAGAAAGUAGGACUCUAACCUCCUGACUUGCUCCUGGGCCAACUACGGAAAAGUCCAGGCCCUGAGCAGCAAACUUUGCCUGGCUGGCAAGUUCUCCAGAGAUCUUCCUGACAUCAAAAUCCACGGAAUCUCCAGUGAGAUGCUGCAGAGAGGCAUGAAUGGGCAGGACGAGGGGCGGAUAAGCUAUCAACUUCUGCACUGGUCAGCUAAGGAAGCAGGAGCCAGGGAGAGCCCUCGGCCAUCAGGAAAAGACUGGCAGAAAACCAAACAGAAAAGGCAACGUACCCUGGGGAUAACCUGCGGCUGACUGAACCGCUAUGAAGUAGGAAGG